CCAAUAGCGUAUAUUAAAGUUGUUGCAGUUAAAAAGCUCGUAGUUGAAUUUCGGGGUCAGUAGGUCGGUCGUGCCACUGGUAUGAACUGGUGUAGUCAAUUUCUCACCUUCUGGAGAACCGCGAUGUCCUUAAUUGGGUGCCGCGAGGAACCAGGACCUUUACUUUGAAAAAAUUAGAGUGUUUAAAGCAGGCAUUUUUGCUUGAAUACAUUAGCAUGGAAUAAUAAAAUAGGACGGCAUGAUUCUAUUUUGUUGGUUUCUAGGAUCACCGUAAUGAUUAAUAGGGAUAGUUGGGGGCAUUAGUAUUCAAUUGUCAGAGGUGAAAUUCUUGGAUUUAUUGAAGACUAACUACUGCGAAAGCAUUUGCCAAGGAUGUUUUCAUUAAUCAAGAACGAAAGUUAGGGGAUCGAAGACGAUCAGAUACCGUCGUAGUCUUAACCAUAAACUAUGCCGACUAGGAAUCAGACGAUGUUAAUUUUUUAAUGACUCGUUUGGCACCUUACG
rnacentral:rRNA from 1 species